ensembl:snRNA U4 U4 spliceosomal RNA
AGCUUUGAGCAGCGCCAGUAGCGUAGUCAAUGAGGUUAAUCUGAGACUUGACUAUUGCUAAUUGAAAACUUCUCCCAUUUUGGUUCAAACAUAAACAGGGGAAGUUUAAAUUGGAUAAAAGAAAAAAGUUCUUU